rnacentral:ncRNA from 1 species
UGAGCCGUAUGCGAGGAAACUCGCACGUACGGUUCUUAGGGGGGGAUGGGCCAGUAAUGG